GAUGAACGCUGGCGGCGUGCCUAAUACAUGCAAGUCGAGCGAACAGACGAGGAGCUUGCUCCUCUGACGUUAGCGGCGGACGGGUGAGUAACACGUGGAUAACCUACCUAUAAGACUGGGAUAACUUCGGGAAACCGGAGCUAAUACCGGAUAAUAUAUUGAACCGCAUGGUUCAAUAGUGAAAGACGGUUUUGCUGUCACUUAUAGAUGGAUCCGCGCCGCAUUAGCUAGUUGGUAAGGUAACGGCUUACCAAGGCGACGAUGCGUAGCCAACCUGAGAGGGUGAUCGGCCACACUGGACCUGAGCCACGGUCCAGACUCCUACGGGAGGCAGCAGUAGGGAAUCUUCCGCAAUGGGCGAAAGCCUGACGGAGCAACGCCGCGUGAGUGAUGAAGGUCUUCGGAUCGUAAAACUCUGUUAUUAGGGAAGAACAAAUGUGUAAGUAACUAUGCACGUCUUGACGGUACCUAAUCAGAAAGCCACGGCUAACUACGUG
rnacentral:rRNA from 1 species